rnacentral:ncRNA from 1 species
CGUUGUGAGGUGGAAUCUGAAAAAAGCUGGCGGCAAACAUCUGACCUAACGUACAGAAACCCCAUAUAAGGCAUUUGACUAUGGAUGAGAUUGCCAACAAAUCAAAAUUCUAUAGUUAUUCGGAAUGAUUGGAGUAAAUGAAGUGGGUAUAAGAUGU